GGAAGGAAAAGGGAAAGAAAGAAAAGAAGGAAAAAGAAUUAAAGAAAACAGAUCAAGGGAAGGAAAGUCGGGUUCUCGGAAGGCAAACCCCGGGCUGCAGCCACUGAGCCACGCAGCAAUGGAGAUCUCCCAAGACUGGACGUAUGAAAUGAUAUAUCACUGGAGUUCCAGAACCUCUCCCUAGCCAGUAGUGUGCACAACACAGGCCCAUCAGGAGCCAGAGGAAGGAGGCAAUCUAUGCAGAAGGGGACACUGGAGCACUACCACUGGAGAGCUACUGUUGAGUGCCUGGGGCAACCUCAGACCCACGGUCACCUUCCAGAUUCCAGGAUCUGACAGGAUCCUGGGCCUUAGCUUACAUCCCGUUAGAUUUUCACAGAUAUUCCCAGAAAUCUGCUCUCCCUUUACUGCAACCAUGAGCAAGCCUACGUGAGAACCUGGUAUUGGCAACCCGAAUAAAACUAAAACUAAAUCGCUUCUUAGACUGGGUACUGUUGUCAUUCAGACUUUAUUCUCUCCCGCAUCCAAUACACCAGCUAUAGCACACAGUGGCACUGGAGAUCCUCAGCAAAUGUUGACUAAAUGAAUAUUAGUGAAAACACUCCUGAAAAAAAACCUAAAUACACAGAAAAGGAAAUGGCUAAUGAACUGGCAGGGUUAAUGUAGACAUUAUACAAAUACCAGGAGAAGGGCCGAAGGAAUCCCUGACUGCAUACAUCCCACUUUCCCAAGGUUACAUAACACUUCGAGGAAAAAAGGCAAGCACAGCUACACGCAUCUACCCUGCUGGUCUUUGGAUUGGCACACUUGGGACGCAGCUGAAACAGAGGAGGAGGUCAGCGCGGACCGGCAAUGCCAGCAAGACUUGAGGACGGGGCACCGCAAAGAUGUUCAGUUUCCGAUACAACAAAGGAGGGAAACAUCCCCACUGAUAACCCCACGUUCAGCCGGAGGAAGCUCUGUGGCCACAUGGAAAUACAGAAAACUGGAGCACAUUUCAAGGGAGCAGUGGAAAAUGACUCAGGGGCGGGGAGGCCUGCCUUUAAAGGGAAGAUAAAAGGUGCUAAAUCUGUACAGUUCAGCUAAGUGGUGACUAAGAGGGUGACAGGAUAACAAUCUGCAAAUAUUUGAAAGGUGUAAACACGAGAAAGGAGGGAAAAUGCUUAGUUUGAGGACGGGGGGUGUAAUUAUUAGGAGAAAGAGAAAUCUGGACAAAAUAUCAGAAAAACCAAGCGUGGGGAUGACUAGUGGGUUAUAAAUAAGUUUCCCAAUUGAAAUGGAAAUGCUGUUAUUUGACCCUGAAACUGAAAUGUGGCUACUAAGCCCAUCCUUCUACUUAUGAGAAAGCAGCCCAGCCCAGGGAACUGUUAUUGUAUUUUCUAUAUUUUGGGAAUGAUUUCUUGAAUAAUAUUCAAAUUUAAAUAUCUCUGCUUUAAAUGCUGCUCCCUGAAAUUAAAAUGUUUUUAAAUGUUUAUUUUUGAGAGAGAGAGAGAGAGAGAGAGAGCGAGCAAGCAGGGGAGGGGCAGAGAGCAAGGGAGACACAGAAUCUGAAGCAGGCUCCAGGCUCUGAGCUGUCAGCAUAGAGCAUGAUGUGGGCCUCGAACCCAUGAACUCUGAGAUCAUGACCCAAGCCAAAGUUGGAUGUUCAACCGACUGAGCCACCCAGGCACCCCUCCCUGAAAUUCCAACACAUUUUCUUUUGUUGAUCAAACCUGAUAAAAUGGUUGUCCUGGUGGGACUUUCAGAACAAAAACUGGCUUUAUCUGCUAGUAUGUGCCACCUGCCUGGCUGACAGCUUAAGUGGAGCUGAGUACAGAGCCGGGUGACAGACAGGUGGGAAAGGGACAGAAGACUACACUAUCUCAUCUAGCAGGACACCUUCAUCCUUCACCUUUAAGACCCUAGGUAAGAAUGCUGUAAACGUUCCCCAGAUGGAACUGUAGACACGUCUCCCUUUUUAAAUACACAGUCCCCUGGAGUAAACGUCAAGGACAAGGCAAGGCACAGAAAGAACACCAAAAUAAGCUUCCUGUCACACUGACUGCACUCCAAUACCUUUGCCUGAGUUCCUGCUGCUGCAGCUAGCCAAUUUACAAGCCAAUUUAUAAUUCACAGACUCUCAGUAGAGAUUUUUACCCCCGGAUUCAAUUAGUUCCAUUUCUAUACUUUGCCCUGCCAGCCUUCCCCGCCCCCACCAAAAACCAAAACACAAAUUAAAAAACCCCACUAUGUACAGAGAAUAAGGCUCCUUAUAUAGCCUAAGAAAAGGAACACUUAACUGUGUUCAAGUCAAUUUCAAAACCAAACCAAACCAAACCAAACCAAAUAUUCUUUGGUGUUAACAAAGUUUAGACAGCUGUUUCUUCCCUAAGCAUCAAGAACAAAAUCCAGAACUCUCACACCAAUGGCACAAAAUGCUGAGGCAGACAGGCCAUCUGCCUAAUUUUAAGGAACGUGGUUAUCACCUGCAUAUACGUAUAAAACCAAAUUAGCACACCACAUUGUUAGUUCUCAGAAAUGUAACACAUCUCAUGCACCAGAAGCUUAUCUGAGUUCUCUCUCAUAAGGUUUAAAUCAGAAUUAAUUUGGAGACCUCAAACUGCAAAUGCUGUCCAUGAAUCAGUUAACAACUGAGAACUGCAAACCAUCCCAUUAGGGCCAGCUGGUCCUUCAUUUCCUAAAAUGGCCCCAAAGCAAGGCAAAUCGUAGACCAGUUCCUAAGAGUUAGUUCUACAUGAUAGGAGGCCUCGAUUUGUAUUGAAAGGGUCAGAAAUAAAACAAGGAUUUUGUAUUGUCUCAAAUUCUUUCUUCUCUCCCUUGUUCUCUAAACUGCUAUGUUAUUACCUCCGGGGAGGCAGCAUCUUGUGGGCCAAUUUUGGAAUAUGUCACUGCUAAAGCUCUUUCAGUGAUCAGAAUAAAGGGAUAAAAGAAGAAUGAAGGGAUCCUAAUUAAAGAGAUCCAACUCCUCAGGUAAUUGUAGUCAGGGACUCAGAACCGGUUAAGAGCUGAGACUGAAGCUGUUUUUAGUUCAUAAUUCCGACUGUUAAGGUAGACUUUUAUUGGGCUGCUCUGAUUUGGUAAUGUGUGAUGCAUUUGUUGAAAGACGAGAAACUGAAGUUAAUUGGGAAGAGAAGCAAUAUGACCCAGUCUUCCUUCAUAAGGUGAUGGGAACUGCGACUUGCUUUGAAGAAAGGAAGGGGGUGAAGGAGAGGCACCUGCAGAAAAGAGGUACAGUAGUCUCCCCACCACCUGGUUCCACUUUCUGUGGUUCCAGUUACCCGUGGUCCAAUGCAGCCCAGAAGCAGGUGACCCCACUUCUGCGGUACUGUCAGGUCACCAGUAGCCUAACGUUACGUCACAGUGCCUGCAUCAUUCACCCUAACUCAUCUUACCGUGUAGGCAUUUUAUCAUCUCACAUCAUCACAAGCGUGAGUAUAGUACAAUAAGGUAUUCUGAGACCAUAUGCACAUAACUUUUAUUAUAGAAUAUUGUUAUAAUUGUUCUAUUUUAUUGCUGUUGUAAAUCUCCUGUGCCUAAUUUACAUACUAAAGUUUAUCAUAGAUAUGUAUGUAAAGGAAAAAAAACAUAGUAUAUAUAGAGUUUGGUUUGACCAGCGUUUUUCAAGCAUCCACUGGGGGUUGUGGAACAAUUCCUCUGUGGAUAAAGAGGGACUAUUGUACAGUGCUUGGCUUUAAACGUGCCUUAAAUUUCUCUGAUACAAGUCAUGGGUAUGAUACCACAAGGACAGGGCUGACUUCUGAGGUCUCAUCUCUAGCUGUUGUUAGCCUGUUAAUGGUGGAUCCCCACUCAACGAUUAUUUGAGGUAUGGUAAAUGCCAGUUCUCUGUGUAUACCCAGCAUCUGGAAUAGAGGAGCUACUGAAUAACUGUUUUGCUAAAUGAAUGCCAAACAGGUUAAACCUAACAGAAAUAGAUGCCACAAACCUGUUAUAACAAUGUCCUAUGCAGAAUACUUGGUGAGUUCAUAAGGAAAUCGAAUAUCAUUUCUAGGAUUUUAAGGCGAAUGAGUGUUAAAUGCUAAACCACUGCCCACUUCCAAGGAGGAGACAAGGAACAGGUGGCUUAGAGGCCUUCUAUUGGAUUUCUGGUGCUCAGUCCAUGGUGAACUGGCUUCACCAAGCUUUAUUUAUCAUUAAGUUUAGACACCAAAGAACUAUUUCCAAAAGGGAAAAAAAAAAAAAAUUCAGACGGAGCUCGUGCAGUAGAUAACAAUUUGGCCAGCAUCAGAACAACCUUUCAGAAUUCUUCCCAUUGCAGAGCAGGAUCUGAAAACAAUGAUUUUUAAAGGGAGGAAGAACUCUCACUGCUUAACAAGGCCUUUCCCUCCCCGGGGCAUCCCAAGAGCAUGGCUGUCAGCAAUCUAGCCAGGCUGUCUCUGGGGGUGUUUGGAAAGGGGGGGGGGCAGGUUGGGGGGGGCAGGUUGGAGACGGCAGGCUGUCUGCUUCCCAAUACACAUAUUUGUUUUGGGUUUGCUAUAAGCAGUAGCUGCAAUAAUAUUGCCAUCAACUCAGAAAGCAAUGAAACAAGCGGGCAUAGGAAAGAACUGUGCCGACCCCCAACUGUCCCCUUGAGUUUCUCAUCAGUAUCCAUAUCAACACAACAGCCUCAUAUGGACAUUACAAAGAAAAAGCACUGGAGGUCAAAAGCAAGGGCCACGAUGGUCUUUCCGAUGACAAGAAAUCAACAUGGCUCAAGCUUUUAUGUAACACCGUGGCACCAUGGAGACAGCACCCAAUGAGCAUAAACCCCAUGUCUGAGCAACGAGGAGGAGUUGGUUUCUAUGAGAACCUCAACUUUUGCUUUUUCUGACUUAUUUUAAACAUGUAUCUUUAUCUCUGAAUCAAAUAAAACUUAGAUGUAUUUUUUCCCCCUUUCAUUUUUGGCACUGAAGAAUUCUAAUCUUGGUCUCUUAAAUUCCAUGUUAAUACCUAAAGAAGAGAAUUUGAAUGUACUGUCCAGGCUGAUAGAGAAUAGCUACAGGGUGGGGAGAAAGCCACAGGAAAUACCCACGUGGAUCUUGCAAGUACAAGCUUCCAGAAGGUAUCCUGACACACACCUGGCAGCCAAAUGUAAAAGCUACUUACUUGAAUAAAUUUAGAGUGAAUUUCUAAACCAA